AUUUUGUUGACAAAGACCUCUCUUGCAAUCAAUUUUAGUCUUUAUAUGAAUCUUUACAUGUUGCCUGAGCAAAGCCUAAUUGCUAGCCAGUCCUUUCCUCUAGAGAAGAUAUAAAAAGUUGAAAAUUUCUCCUCUCAUAUGGAGAAUUUAUCUGCAAUUCUGCAUAUUGGAAUUGAAUACAGUGCAGCUAGCCGUGCUGCAAAUUGUUGGAAAUCAUCAAUAAAUAAAACUAAGUACAUAGCUCUCUAUGAUCUGAUGGCAGUCUUACCUUGAUGGAAAUCAUUAUUUGAUUGGUCAGACAUUUCAAAAGUUCA
rnacentral:misc_RNA from 1 species